CUGUCGCAGAGGGACAUGAUUAGGGUAGAGAGAUAUGCCUUCGUGCAAACGCGUUAUACUACUAUGCACAGUAAUGCACGAGUCAAGUGAACACUUGUGUUGUGGCCCUAUAUAUUUUGUAAGAGCAUAUUUCUAUCCCCAAAACAUCCUAAGUGAUUUUCUGCGACAUAGCAGCGAUACAAAGAGCCGGUCCAUCCGGUCCAGUCGUAGUUUGUCCAGUUCCAGCCUCAACUCCUCUGUCUCCGGGCUGAUGCUGUUCCUACUGACCAUCACCUCCAGGAUCUCCAGCACCCGCACCACUUUUGGCAUGAGCCUGGACAGAGCCUCGCAUCCAUACUGAUCAAUGAUCCGCUCAAACUCCUGGCCCACCACCGCGGCUAUGUCAUACACGUCCAUAACCGUUAAAUCGGCCACAUUCUUCUCCAACGCUGACCCAAACUCUUCCAUGGCUGACUGGGUGGGUGGGUUUGUAUUCUGACUGUCCCCCCGCUCUGGCAGUUUUCCGCAGUCUCUCCCUGCUUUACCGGGCUAUUAUAUUUCCUUCGACACAACAAACUUCGU